rnacentral:lncRNA from 1 species
UGCUAAAAUAGGCCACUGAAUUUCAAUCAGUCUUAAAGCUGUCCUUUCUUAUCUCAUCUAACCCUGAUGGUGACAUUUUCUAUCACUUAAAAGAACAUUGCUGUACAGAAAUCUGAUGUCUUGUCAGUGAAACCAUAGUUAUAAAUAAUACAGUUGUUACAGAUCAAUUCUCAAGGUCACUUCAUUCUUACUUUGUGAUACUGAAGAGAUUUAUCAUGGCUUCAAACAUUUAGAUGGAAAAGAUAAACAUAAUGAAAUAGUGUUUCUUUAAUUUCAAGUUUGAAGAUGGAUAAGUUUCCUGGAGAUUAAAGCUGGUGAGAGGAACAAGAAAUGGUUAUAUCACUUGAAGGAAAGCACACACUCCAUGGGACUUGUAAGCUGCUUUAGAUUAGAGGUAGUAGACCACAUAAUCGAUCAGCUAUGGUGUUGGAUGGGAGAUGAGGAGCUGAGGCUGUAUCACCUGUAACCUGGAUAUCAACUUUGUACUGAUGGGAGUCACAGCAAGUAAGGCAUUUCUGGAGUUGCCAAGAUUUUCACUGAAGUCCCAAUUAACUACAAGUCUAAUUACAAGUUCCUAUCACCUGUGGUACUGAUAGGCUCAUAGCAACAUCCUUAAGCAGAGAAUUACCAGGUAUGCACACCUAUGUUGAUAGAUUCCUCAAAAUUCUGGAGAAAACUAAAUGAUGGAAAUGUUUUCUGGAGGUCAGGAUGCAUUUUCUGCCCUGCCCCGAUUUUGAGAUGAGCACAGAUGAAAAGCUUCCCUGUCAAUGAUGUCCUGCCUGUAUGCAAAUAGUCUCUUUUUCUGUUGCCUUAGGAGACUUGUAGGGCUCUGUACCUAUUAAUUCAAUCUAAACCACUUCCGAGCAGCUGUGUAUUGCUGACAGCUACCCAGAG